rnacentral:rRNA from 1 species
AUCAGGGGUAAACCUGUGGAACUCGAACGAGCGAACGGGGAGACUCAUCGUCGUUCCCGACUCCCCGGCGCGUUGUGUGGCGWUCAAAUUYGUUUGGGUGYCUAGCUUUGCGUYGURRGGUGUCGGGAGGGCGUGCACUUCUCCCUUAGUAAAACACCGCGACCCGUUGUCAUCGGUGGGUCGAACGCACCGUGCGGUUGUCCAAUUUUCCCUCUUCACCGAGGGAGGUUGAGCCGCGGUGUCGCGACUCACCUGCGACGGUAGAGAACGAGGUAUGCUUCCGCCCCAAGUGGGCGUCCGCGGUGCGACGGCGUCGUUCCCUGYAUGGUCUUUGGCUCAAAGAGUCUGGGUAUCGUGCACGGUUGGCGAGAGUGGUGUCUCACGRUGCCCUCUCGUCGCGUUCGGCGUGUCUGUUGCAUCAAGCUCGGACGGGAAGCGUCCCGGUCGGCGGUG